GGCGAGAUGGCCGAGUGGUUAAGGCGCUGGUUUUAGGUCCUACCAAAACACCAGUUGGAAACAGCGUGGGUUCAAAUCCCACUCUCGUCA